UGAGGAAUACAUCGGAAUCUACUUUUUCGUGGGGGAUAACGUAGGGAAACUUACGCUAAUACCGCAUACGACCUACGGGUGAAAGCAGGGGACCUUCGGGCCUUGCGCGAUUGAAUGAGCCGAUGUCGGAUUAGCUAGUUGGCGGGGUAAAGGCCCACCAAGGCGACGAUCCGUAGCUGGUCUGAGAGGAUGAUCAGCCACACUGGAACUGAGACACGGUCCAGACUCCUACGGGAGGCAGCAGUGGGGAAUAUUGGACAAUGGGCGCAAGCCUGAUCCAGCCAUACCGCGUGGGUGAAGAAGGCCUUCGGGUUGUAAAGCCCUUUUGUUGGGAAAGAAAUCCAGCCGGUUAAUACCUGGUUGGGAUGACGGUACCCAAAGAAUAAGCACCGGCUAACUUCGUGCCAGCAGCCGCGGUAAUACGAAGGGUGCAAGCGUUACUCGGAAUUACUGGGCGUAAAGCGUGCGUAGGUGGUUGUUUAAGUCUGUUGUGAAAGCCCUGGG
rnacentral:rRNA from 1 species